GUGGGGAAUAUUGGACAAUGGGCGCAAGCCUGAUCCAGCAAUACCGCGUGAGUGAAGAAGGUUUUCGGAUCGUAAAACUCUUUUAUUGGGGAAGAAGAAGUGACGGUACCCAAUGAAGAAGUCCCGGCUAACUACGUGCCAGCAGCCGCGGUAAUACGUAGGGGACAAGCGUUGUCCGGAAUCACUGGGCGUAAAGGGCGCGUAGGCGGUUUUAUAAGUCAGAUGUGAAAGGUACCGGCUCAACCGGUGACGUGCAUUUGAAACUGGAAGACUUGAGUACUGGAGAGGCAAGUGGAAUUCCUAGUGUAGCGGUGAAAUGCGUAGAUAUUAGGAGGAACACCGGUGGCGAAGGCGGCUUGCUGGACAGAUACUGACGCUGAGGUGCGAAAGCGUGGGGAGCGAACAGGAUUAGAAACCCGUGUAGUCC
rnacentral:rRNA from 1 species